GAGACCACUCCUGCCUCUCCCACUAAGAGCGCUGAUGGGCAUCGAGCAGUCACUCAGGGUAAAGAGGAGGUCCCCGCUAUACCGGAUAGACACACACACACACACACGGGACAGACAUCUCUGCGCAACUCAUCGUACACUCGCUAAGACACAGUCGGGUCUUCCAUACACACGCUUGAUUGGUCGCGGGGUGCCAGGACACUGUAGGACCCUGCUUGCUGAAAGAGUAACAAAGGAACCCCUCCCAAACCCCCAUCCACAAGCCCUCAACAGACCUGGAAAUGGAUUCUGCGUUCUGGUACCUGUUUCUCCUCGUCCCAACAGACAGCUGGCUGCUCGUCUCAGCUCAAACUCCCAACGCUCCCGCAACCCAGACUGAGACAGCCAACGGGACCAUUUCACUGAGCACACCUGCUCAACCCACCACAGGUAAAUAUUUCCUGACUGAGACCUCAACAUCAAUCCCAGAAGAUAAGAGGACAACAACUCCAGUGGUUCCAUUGUCUGUGACAUCACAAACCACUCCUCCUGCUCAGAAUGAACCUACAACAGCACCUGCAACCUCAGUAACUGAGGCUAAAUCCUCUACAUACUCACCCACAACCAAUAUCUCAGGUAAACAUUUCCUGACUGAGACCUCUACGUCAGUUCCAGAAGACAAAAGGACAACAAACCCAGGAAAUACCAGAUGCACAGAGACGACAUCAUAUCCUCCAGCAGGCACAAGCGCCUGUCAGCCUACCACGGGCACCACCACUGUCCGACCAGUGUCAACAGCAGCUGCAGGGUUACCCCCAAUGCCAGGAACUUCCUCCGCACAUCCCACAGGGUCUGAAGCUUCGUCCUCCCCCAGUCCCACUACAGGAAACAGCCUGACCACUCUCGCCUUUGGGGUGAUGAGUUUUAUCCUCAUCCUGAUCGUUGUCAUGGUGGGUCUAGUCACAGCUAUCCACCUGAGAGGGCGAUGCAACAGUGCUAAAGAAGAAGGCAAAAAGAGUGGAGAUUCUGUGGUGUCUGAAAGCCAGCUAACAUCGAACGGGGAAAAGGAAAGCAUAACUUUGGUCUCUGUGAAGACGAUAAACACUGAAACUGUCCGCAGUGGGUACCAAUUCACAAUGGAACUACUCAUUUAGAUGUAUACAGAUUCGCCUCAGGUCUCUUCGAUCCACAGCACCACGCUGGACAGUGAGGAGCAGGAACUACGCAGAGACCUGCUCAAUAUUAAGCAGGUGUAAAAGCCAUUUUGUCAAAAAACACGCCGAUCCUGAGGCAGCAACAAGGAACAAAAUGAACUGUGAUCAUUUUAUAUCAUUUUUAAUAAUUUUACUUACUGAAAAAACAGUCAUCGACUUUCCAUUUUCUAUGCUCAUGAGUAUAAAACAGCAGGGCUGUUUGUGUGUGUGUGUGUGUGUGUGUGUGUGAGUGCACAACACUGUGUGUUCUGACCAGAGGUGGAAAGUCCAGGGAUCAGAAUGCAGAAGUCCUGCCAUGUGUUUCUUCCACCCAUGAACUCAGCCAGCUUGAUUUCACUAAUCAGUUCUACCUCCUGGCCAUAUAAUUGUGCACAAUUCCUAACAUAAUUAUGGAACAAAAUACUGGGGAGGACUUUUACAUUGUGGAAUUUGAUUUUCCAUCUGUAGGCCUGACACUUCAUCGUGCAGCACCUCUUGUUCUGGGGACCCUCUCGCUCACAGGCUCUCCAUCUGCAUCAAACAGACAGACUGGUCUCCAAGUGAUAUUACUCUUGAGAACCUGCAGCUCUGUCACAAUAAAUAGAGGCAUCGCCUAAGGCAAUGGUUCCCGACCUUGGUCCUGGAGUACCCCUGUGAAUGCUGGUUUUUGUUUCAACCACAGUUACAAUCCCAGAAUUUAAAAAAGUUGUUCAUUUUUCUUAAUUGGGUGCUUUUUGUGUUUAGAGGGAUUAUUUACCCUCUUGUACCACAUUAUGUCAGAAAUGUUAUGUGUGCCAUAAAUUAUUAAAUUCCCAUGUUCAUUUUGUGCUUAUUGUGCUACAUUACAAAAAUAAAAAAUAAACAAUUUAUUAAGAAAAAUGUACAACUAGCUAAAAUUCUGGGAUUGUAAUUGUGGUUGGAACAAAAACCAGCAUUCACAGGGGUACUCCAGGACAGAGGGCGGAGAACCACUGACCUGCGACUCCAUAAUGCAUCAUCUUCAAAUUUAACAAACUUCAUCACCCAUAAACCCACUCACAACUUCACAAGGAACACUGCAGCGGAAAUGUGGACUCCUGUGAUACACAGUACUACAGAAGAGAUAGCACCAAUUAUACAGGAGCAAGUGUCUUCCACUCACAAACACUAGUGUUCUGUUCAUUGUGUAAAUUGCAUGGAAUAAACUUCCAUGCAAUUCCAGAUUGAUCAAAAUGAUUUUCUUUUUGGAUGUUAUGUAUGUUAUGCAUUUUUUCAUCUAAAUGAUUACAUGAUUAAUUUGUGUACUCUGUGGAAAAAUAUAAAAUGUGAUUUUGAUUUGUUAAUUUAUACUUAAAGUGUAAUUUCACCAUUUCAGAAUACAUGAAGAAUCAAAUUAGAAAUCUAAUCAUAAUAAAACUCUUUGCAAAUCAAUUUUUUUGACAAUAUAAAUAAAAAUAAUCUUUUCUUGACUUCACAUAAA